rnacentral:rRNA from 1 species
UACGUAGGGGGCAAGCGUUGUCCGGAUUUAUUGGGCGUAAAGAGCGUGUAGGCGGCCGUACAGGUCAGCUGUGAAAACUCGAGGCUCAACCUCGAGACGUCGGUUGAAACCGUACGGCUAGAGUCCGGAAGAGGAGAGUGGAAUUCCCGGUGUAGCGGUGAGAUGCGCAGAUAUCGGGAAGAACACCCGUGGCGAAGGCGGUUCUCUGGGACGGUACUGACGCUGAGACGCGAAAGCGUGGGGAGCGAACAGG